GGCAACCGUUUCAUAAGUCCGUUACGGUGUUUCCAAAGUGCUUUUCUUAAGGAAAUUAAGGAGGAUUUGGUGCAUCUUCCAGAGACAGCUCUUCACUGCCCUACCAACAAAGUCCAUAAAAAUGGCUGUAUAAAGAACAACAAAUCAGGUAUUAUAAAACUAUAUGUAUGAUAUGAAUUAGAUGUAUUUUGAGUUGCAUCGUUGGCAUGAAAUAAUGAAUAUUAAUUCAUCUACAGAAUCCACUCCAGAGGUCUCACAAAGGUUUAAGGGAAAACUCCAGUUGAACAAAAGCCACAUCUUCAAGAUCUGCAGAUUCAGAUCUAAGAGGAUUUGUAGCUGUGUCAGAGGCAGAGGCUGCAGCUUCUGCUGUAGGUUCAGGAGGGGAGGAUGUGGAUGAUGUUUUGCCAGCCCCAGUACGCAGUUUAGAGGUGCUGGAUGACUCGUGUACUAAGUUAACUGAUGAAACAUUCAAAAAGAAAUUGACACUGUAUUUGUCAUCAUUAGGAGGGCAUAAACUUGGAGAGACAGUUCAUAGGAUUAAAAAGCUUGGAAGCAAUAGUGUGUGGUCCUCAUAUAGUCUAAAGGGAAGAAAAGGAAAGCUACCAUUUACUGAUCUUCCUAUCUGCAAAGUUGUCAUCAGAGCAUGCUUAAGAAACUACAGAAAAGCAAAAUUAUCCGAAGUGGAAGACGAAAUAAGUGAAGCCCUGAAGCAUGUCCCUAAAAGACAAGGUGGCCUAAAGUACAAG